rnacentral:rRNA from 1 species
ACCCUUUAAUGUUUGAUGUUCUAACGUGGACCCGUAAUCCGGGUUGCGGACAGUGUCUGGUGGGUAGUUUGACUGGGGCGGUCUCCUCCUAAAGAGUAACGGAGGAGCACGAAGGUUGGCUAAUCCUGGUCGGACAUCAGGAGGUUAGUGCAAUGGCAUAAGCCAGCUUGACUGCGAGCGUGACGGCGCGAGCAGGUGCGAAAGCAGGUCAUAGUGAUCCGGUGGUUCUGAAUGGAAGGGCCAUCGCUCAACGGAUAAAAGGUACUCCGGGGAUAACAGGCUGAUACCGCCCAAGAGUUCAUAUCGACGGCGGUGUUUGGCACCUCGAUGUCGGCUCAUCACAUCCUGGGGCUGAAGUAGGUCCCAAGGGUAUGGCUGUUCGCCAUUUAAAGUGGUACGCGAGCUGGGUUUAGAACGUCGUGAGACAGUUCGGUCCCUAUCUGCCGUGGGCGCUGGAGAACUGAGGGGGGCUGCUCCUAGUACGAGAGGACCGGAGUGGACGCAUCACUGGUGUUCGGGUUGUCAUGCCAAUGGCACUGCCCGGUAGCUAAAUGCGGAAGAGAUAAGUGCUGAAAGCAUCUAAGCACGAAACUUGCCCCGAGAUGAGUUCUCCCUGAGACUUAGAGUCUCCUGAAGGAACGUUGAAGACGACGACGUUGAUA